UAGGGAAUCUUCGGCAAUGGACGAAAGUCUGACCGAGCAACGCCGCGUGAGUGAAGAAGGUUUUCGGAUCGUAAAACUCUGUUGUUAGAGAAGAACAAGGACGUUAGUAACUGAACGUCCCCUGACGGUAUCUAACCAGAAAGCCACGGCUAACUACGUGCCAGCAGCCGCGGUAAUACGUAGGUGGCAAGCGUUGUCCGGAUUUAUUGGGCGUAAAGCGAGCGCAGGCGGUUUCUUAAGUCUGAUGUGAAAGCCCCCGGCUCAACCGGGGAGGGUCAUUUGAAACUGGGAGACUUGAGUGCAGAAGAGGUGAGUGGAAUUCCAUGUGUAGCGGUGAAAUGCGUAGAUAUAUGGAGGAACACCAGUGGCGAAGGCGGCUCUCUGGUCUGUAACUGACGCUGAGGCUCGAAAGCGUGGGGAGCAAACAGG
rnacentral:rRNA from 1 species